rnacentral:rRNA from 1 species
CCUACGGGUGGCAGCAGUGAGGAAUAUUGGUCAAUGGACGAGAGUCUGAACCAGCCAAGUAGCGUGAAGGAUGAAUGCCCUAUGGGUUGUAAACUUCUUUUAUAUGGGAAUAAAAUGUUCCACGUGUGGGAUUUUGUAUGUACCAUAUGAAUAAGGAUCGGCUAACUCCGUGCCAGCAGCCGCGGUAAUACGGAGGAUCCGAGCGUUAUCCGGAUUUAUUGGGUUUAAAGGUAGCGUAGGUGGAUUGUUAAGUCAGUUGUGAAAGUUUGCGGCUCAACCGUAGAAUUGCAGUUGAAACUGGCAGUCUUGAGUACAGUAGAGGUGGGCGGAAUGCGUGGUGUAGCGGUGAAAUGCUUAGAUAUCACGAAGAACUCCGAUUGCGAAGGCAGUUCACUGGACUGCAACUGACACUGAGGCUCGAAAGUGUGGGUAUCAAACAGGAUUAGAUACCCCUGUAGUC